AUUUUAUUGCAGUAAAACCAAACAGUAAUAUGAAAUUCACAGUUAAACUGCCACGCAGAACUAAAAAAAAAUGACAUUUCUUAAAUUUUCCCAUUUUCUUAGAUUGAAUUCAUAUUAAAUUGUUUCAUAUAUGAAUAUUUGAUGUGAAAUGAAAGCCGUGUUUCUCCUGAACAAAAUGAUAUAUAAUAAGCGUGGAUGCACUAAAAAUGAAAUAGGUGGAUUAUGGUGGUACAGACAUAUAGUCAAACUCUAGGUUUCGUUUACAUUAUGUGUUAAUCUGAACUUGUACAAUUGCCUCCGUCCUAAAGAGUUAACCCUAAUAAGCAAUAUUUACUCAAUACAAUAGAUAGUUUCACUACAGCAGAAAAUAUAUAUAAAAAGGAAACAUAAAUGUAAGAUGAAAUGAUUAUGGUUUUAAAAACAGACUUUUUGUUAAUCAACAAUGGCAAAUAAUUGCUGGAAGAAAACAGCAUUCCUGAUGAUCCUGGGUAACGGCUGCGGGUGGAACGCGCGUGGGGUGCAGACUGACGUGGCGCUUGGUCCAGAACGCGACUUAGACUUGAUUUAACUUUAAAUACUCUAGCCUUUGGUCCAAUAAGGAUUUAUGUAACUUCACUUUCCUAUGCAGUCUCUUAGAUAUUCCUUUGUAUUUUUAGCACUUUUUUCACUUUAAUUUUUUAUUAUUUUCAAUCUAGGUGUCAGUGAUCAGUGAGGGGUACGUUAGAAUCGAAUGACUUGCUGUUUUGUAUUGCUACACGCGGCUUACAACAUGGAGGGAACAAGUGCCAGCUGUCAAAUAUGUAGGGAGAUAUAGUUCGUAAAUAUAUUAGACUAUAACAGGGACCAACCAGCACUUGCACCCUCCCUGCCUGCCCUGUACUGAUAUUAUUAUAGGCAUAUAAAUCAGGAAAUCCCCUCUCCCCACCAAACUUUAGAAUUUAUUUCUAUGAUUUUCAUUACUAUAUAUAUUUUUUUCAAGACUUUUAUUACUCUGACUGAAAAGUAAUCACCAGUUAAGAGCUUCGACACUGAUUUUAUUCAGCUGUAUCUAAAUCUGAAUCAUA